GCCGCAAGGUUAAAACUCAAAGGAAUUGACGGGGGCUCACACAAGCGGUGGAGCAUGUUGCUUAAUUCGAGGCAACGCGAAGAACCUUAUCCUAGGCUUGACAUGUGUGGAUUAGCCGUUGGAAACAUCGGUGACGCCUUCGGGUGGAACAUACACAGGUGCUGCAUGGCUGUCGUCAGCUCGUGCCGUGAGGUGUUGGGUUAAGUCCCGCAACGA
rnacentral:rRNA from 1 species